GCCAUCCAUCAGACACAAUACCCUUCUUUCACCACUAUAUUUGUGCUGUUUAAUGACUGAUUGAAUCUGUACCCAGCAUCCUGAUAAAGUGGCAACAUGUGCAAACUCACUCUAACUGCAGGGCUCUGUUUGAUCAUC